rnacentral:sRNA from 1 species
UAUUCUGCCCCACGGGGAAGGAUGAGAAGCUUCGACCAAGGUUCGACUCGAGCGAAGCGAGAGAACGUUGCCGCAGGCAACGGCCCGAAGGGCGAGGCGCU